rnacentral:rRNA from 1 species
UACGGAGGAUGCAAGCGUUAUCCGGAAUGAUUGGGCGUAAAGCGUCCGCAGGUGGCAAUGUAAGUCUGCUGUCAAAGCGUCUGGCUCAACCAGAUAAAGGCAGUGGAAACUACAUAGCUAGAGUAAGGUAGGGGUAGAGGGAAUUCCUGGUGUAGCGGUGAAAUGCGUAGAGAUCGGGAAGAACACCGGUGGCGAAAGCGCUCUGCUGGACCUAAACUGACACUGAGGGACGAAAGCGAGGGGAGCGAAUGGG